GAUUUCACACGCAUAUUUGAUUGAAACUGUUGUUUUUCAUAAAUAAGAUAAUAAAUUUUUGUGAUUGUGAUAUUUAGUUCAGUUUCAUGAUAUAUUUCUGGAAAGUAAAUGUCAAUUUCUUGUCCUUCAGGCCAUGUUUUGGAGAAGAAGGAAAUGUUGGAAGUUGCUGAUUGUGGGGGCCCCGUGUAACGGUUGACAGAUGUUAGUGGCAGUGAGACAGUCGUCACUGAAUGAAGAGGAAAAGACACUAUGAUGUGGUGAUGAGUGUUGCUAAUAAAUGGUGUACUCGUGGGUAUGUUAGAGACACACCAGUGGUCCUAGUGACGGUGAAAAUGAUACCGCCACAACAUACCACCAUUACGAGGCUAAUUUUGGAUAACUAGACAACCUGCAUGGAUUUUGCUGCACGACCCAUAUAUGAAGUGAUUUGCAAUGACACAGAUCUGACUGUAUGAACAUGCAAAAGUUUCAGUGAUGUCUUUUGUAUAGAAUUGGAGGAAAAAGGAUCAACCACUGGUCAUGUUAAUUCGCUCAAGAGUCUUAAUGACGGAACUAGCAAUGCCACACCUUACCAUCAUUUAUGAGUGAUACUUGAUUCCCUGCCUGCCUGCCUGCCUGCCUGCCUUAGGCUGCUUGUGGCUUUCACUUGGAUCCUGCCUGAUUGCAUACCAACCUUUGCCAUCCAUGAAGCU